UACAGAGGUCUCAAGCGUUGUUCGGAUUCAUUGGGCGUAAAGGGCGCGUAGGCGGCGGGGUAAGUCGGGUGUGAAAUCUCAGGGCUCAACCCUGAAACUGCACUCGAUACUGCUCUGCUUGAGGACUGGAGAGGAGACUGGAAUUCACGGUGUAGCAGUGAAAUGCGUAGAGAUCGUGAGGAAGACCAGUGGCGAAGGCGGGUCUCUGGACAGUUCCUGACGCUGAGGCGCGAAGGCCAGGGAGCAAACGGG
rnacentral:rRNA from 1 species